UACGUAGGGUCCGAGCGUUGUCCGGAAUUAUUGGGCGUAAAGAGCUUGUAGGCGGUUUGUCGCGUCUGCUGUGAAAAUCCGGGGCUCAACCCCGGACUUGCAGUGGGUACGGGCAGACUAGAGUGUGGUAGGGGAGACUGGAAUUCCUGGUGUAGCGGUGAAAUGCGCAGAUAUCAGGAGGAACACCGAUGGCGAAGGCAGGUCUCUGGGCCACUACUGACGCUGAGAAGCGAAAGCGUGGGGAGCGAACAGG
rnacentral:rRNA from 1 species